GAGUCAGUAUUGUAAGGUCUGAGAAGGUCAAGGAUUAGCUUGUGUUGUAUGGGAAUGAUGUUGAGCUUGUCUCUAGAUCUUGUGCCUUGAUUAACCAGAAAUGCCAUGUGAAAAACAAAGAUAUCAGGAAGUUUUUGGAUGGUAUUUAUGUGAGCGAGAAGGGAACUUUUGAGGUCGAAGAAUAAAUUGGUGGCACAACUCUGUUAAUUUGGUCAAGUUGCUUUCUUUCUCCUGCCAUGAUGGCCUACUUAGUUGGAUACAUCACUUGUUGGACUAGUAUAGGUGGAGACACCUUUUUUCAUUUUGGGGGUUGAACUUUUGUAGUGGUGAUAAUAGUAGUUUAAAAUGGUUUGAUUUACAGAGAA